AAUCAACGCUGGCGGCGUGCCUCAGACAUGCAAGUCGAACGAUUAAACUUUCCUUCGGGAAAGAUAUAAAGUGGCGCACGGGUGAGUAACACGUAGGUAAUGUACCUUUGGGUGGGGAAUAACCAUCGGAAACGAUGGCUAAUACCGCAUAAUGCAGCGGCAUCGCAAGAUGACAGUUGUUAAAGAUUUAUCGCCUAAAGAGCAGCCUGCGGCAGAUUAGGUAGUUGGAAGGUAAUGGCUUACCAAGCCUGCGAUCUGUAACCGACCUGAGAGGGUGGUCGGUCACACUGACACUGAAUAACGGGUCAGACUCCUACGGGAGGCAGCAGUCGGGAAUUUUGGGCAAUGGGCGAAAGCCUGACCCAGCAACGCCGCGUGAAGGACGAAGUCUUUCGGGAUGUAAACUACGUAAGAAUAGGAAGAAUAAAUGACGUACUAUUUGU
rnacentral:rRNA from 1 species